rnacentral:rRNA from 1 species
GAUGAACGCUGGCGGCGUGCCUAAUACAUGCAAGUCGAGCGAACAGAUAAGGAGCUUGCUCCUUGACGUUAGCGGCGGACGGGUGAGUAACACGUGGGUAACCUACCUAUAAGACUGGAAUAACUCCGGGAAACCGGGGCUAAUGCCGGAUAACAUUUAGAACCGCAUGGUUCUAAAGUGAAAGAUGGUUUUGCUAUCACUUAUAGAUGGACCCGCGCCGUAUUAGCUAGUUGGUAAGGUAACGGCUUACCAAGGCAACGAUACGUAGCCGACCUGAGAGGGUGAUCGGCCACACUGGAACUGAGACACGGUCCAGACUCCUACGGGAGGCAGCAGUAGGGAAUCUUCCGCAAUGGGCGAAAGCCUGACGGAGCAACGCCGCGUGAGUGAUGAAGGUCUUCGGAUCGUAAAACUCUGUUAUUAGGGAAGAACAAAUGUGUAAGUAACUGUGCACGUCUUGACGGUACCUAAUCAGAAAGCCACGGCUAACUACGUG